GAUGAACGCUGGCGGCGUGCCUAAUACAUGCGAGUCGAGCGAAGGGACGAGACGCUUGCUUCUCUGAUGUUAGCGGCGGACGGGUGAUUAACACGUGGAUAACCUACCUAUAAGACUGGGAUAACUUCGGGAAACCGGAGCUAAUACCGGAUGAUCUUUUGAACCGCAUGGUUCAAAAGUGAAAGACGGGCUUGCUGUCACUUAUCGAUGGAUCCUCGCUGCAUUGGCUAGUUGUUAAGGUAACGGCUUACCAAGCCAACGAUGCAUAGCCGACCGGGGAGAGUGAUAGGCGACCCGGGAGGUGGGCCAGGGUCACGAGUACUGCGGGACGCAGCAGUAGGGAAUGUUCGGCAAUGGGGGAAAGCCUGACGGAGUAACGCGGAGUGAGUCAUGAAGGUGUUCGGAGCGUAAAAAUCUGUUAUGAGGGAAGAACAUAUGUGUGAGGAACUGUGCACAUCUUGACGGUACCUACUCAGAAAGCAACGGCUAACUACGUG
rnacentral:rRNA from 1 species